rnacentral:rRNA from 1 species
AGCGAACGCUGGCGGCAGGCCUAACACAUGCAAGUCGAACGAACUCUUCGGAGUUAGUGGCGGACGGGUGAGUAACACGUGGGAACGUGCCUUUAGGUUCGGAAUAACUCAGGGAAACUUGUGCUAAUACCGAAUGUGCCCUUCGGGGGAAAGAUUUAUCGCCUUUAGAGCGGCCCGCGUCUGAUUAGCUAGUUGGUGAGGUAAAGGCUCACCAAGGCGACGAUCAGUAGCUGGUCUGAGAGGAUGACCAGCCACAUUGGGACUGAGACACGGCCCAAACUCCUACGGGAGGCAGCAGUGGGGAAUCUUGCGCAAUGGGCGAAAGCCUGACGCAGCCAUGCCGCGUGUAUGAUGAAGGUCUUAGAAUUGUAAAAUACUUUCACCGGUGAAGAUAAUGACUGUAGCCGGAGAAGAAGCCCCGGCUAACUUCGUGCCAGCCGCCGCAGUAAAAC